AUAGGGGAGCCGGAGGGAAACCGAGUCUUAAUUGGGCGUUAAGUUGCAGGGUAUAGACCCGAAACCCGGUGAUCUAGCCAUGGGCAGGUUGAAGGUUGGGUAACACUAACUGGAGGACCGAACCGACUAAUGUUGAAAAAUUAGCGGAUGACCUGUGGCUGGGGGUGAAAGGCCAAUCAAACCGGGAGAUAGCUGGUUCUCCCCGAAAGCUAUUUAGGUAGCGCCUCGUGAAUUCAUCUCCGGGGGUAGAGCACUGUUUCGGCUAGGGGGCCAUCCCGGCUUACCAACCCGAUGCAAACUGCGAAUACCGGAGAAUGUUAUCACGGGAGACACACGGCGGGUGCUAACGUCCGUCGUGAAGAGGGAAACAACCCAGACCGCCAGCUAAGGUCCCAAAGUCAUGGUUAAGUGGGAAACGAUGUGGGAAGGCCCAGACAGCCAGGAUGUUGGCUUAGAAGCAGCCAUCAUUUAAAGAAAGCGUAAUAGCUCACUGGUCGAGUCGGCCUGCGCGGAAGAUGUAACGGGGCUAAACCAUGCACCGAAGCUGCGGCAGCGAACGUAUCACCCAAGACAACUUUACGGAGUUGACGAUUGACGGAGCGAAGCGACGUCAAAGCGUUCAUUAAAGUCGAGUUGGCUUAGGGAUACGUUCGUUGGGUAGGGGAGCGUUCUGUAAGCCUGUGAAGGUGUGUCGUGAGGCAUGCUGGAGGUAUCAGAAGUGCGAAUGCUGACAUAAGUAACGAUAAAGCGGGUGAAAAGCCCGCUCGCCGGAAGACCAAGGGUUCCUGUCCAACGUUAAUCGGGGCAGGGUGAGUCGACCCCUAAGGCGAGGCCGAAAGGCGUAGUCGAUGGGAAACGGGUUAAUAUUCCCGUACUUGGUGUUACUGCGAAGGGGGGACGGAGAAGGCUAUGUUGGCCGGGCGACGGUUGUCCCGGUUUAAGCGUGUAGGUGUGUGUUCCAGGUAAAUCCGGUUCACUUUAACACUGAGGCGUGACGACGAGGCACUACGGUGCUGAAGCAACAAAUGCCCUGCUUCCAGGAAAAGCCUCUAAGCAUCAGGUAACACGAAAUCGUACCCCAAACCGACACAGGUGGUCAGGUAGAGAAUACCAAGGCGCUUGAGAGAACUCGGGUGAAGGAACUAGGCAAAAUGGUGCCGUAACUUCGGGAGAAGGCACGCUGACACGUAGGUGAAGUGAUUUACUCAUGGAGCUGAAGUCAGUCGAAGAUACCAGCUGGCUGCAACUGUUUAUUAAAAACACAGCACUGUGCAAACACGAAAGUGGACGUAUACGGUGUGACGCCUGCCCGGUGCCGGAAGGUUAAUUGAUGGGGUCAGCGUAAGCGAAGCUCCUGAUCGAAGCCCCGGUAAACGGCGGCCGUAACUAUAACGGUCCUAAGGUAGCGAAAUUCCUUGUCGGGUAAGUUCCGACCUGCACGAAUGGCGUAAUGAUGGCCAGGCUGUCUCCACCCGAGACUCAGUGAAAUUGAACUCGCUGUGAAGAUGCAGUGUACCCGCGGCAAGACGGAAAGACCCCGUGAACCUUUACUAUAGCUUGACACUGAACAUUGAGCCUUGAUGUGUAGGAUAGGUGGGAGGCUUUGAAGUGUGGACGCCAGUCUGCAUGGAGCCGACCUUGAAAUACCACCCUUUAAUGUUUGAUGUUCUAACGUGGACCCGUAAUCCGGGUUGCGGACAGUGUCUGGUGGGUAGUUUGACUGGGGCGGUCUCCUCCUAAAGAGUAACGGAGGAGCACGAAGGUUGGCUAAUCCUGGUCGGACAUCAGGAGGUUAGUGCAAUGGCAUAAGCCAGCUUGACUGCGAGCGUGACGGCGCGAGCAGGUGCGAAAGCAGGUCAUAGUGAUCCGGUGGUUCUGAAUGGAAGGGCCAUCGCUCAACGGAUAAAAGGUACUCCGGGGAUAACAGGCUGAUACCGCCCAAGAGUUCAUAUCGACGGCGGUGUUUGGCACCUCGAUGUCGGCUCAUCACAUCCUGGGGCUGAAGUAGGUCCCAAGGGUAUGGCUGUUCGCCAUUUAAAGUGGUACGCGAGCUGGGUUUAGAACGUCGUGAGACAGUUCGGUCCCUAUCUGCCGUGGGCGCUGGAGAACUGAGGGGGGCUGCUCCUAGUACGAGAGGACCGGAGUGGACGCAUCACUGGUGUUCGGGUUGUCAUGCCAAUGGCACUGCCCGGUAGCUAAAUGCGGAAGAGAUAAGUGCUGAAAGCAUCUAAGCACGAAACUUGCCCCGAGAUGAGUUCUCCCUGAGACUUAGAGUCUCCUGAAGGAACGUUGAAGACGACGACGUUGAUAGGCCGGGUGUGUAAGCGCAGCGAUGCGUUGAGCUAACCGGUACUAAUGAACCGUGAGGCUUAACCUUACAACGCCGAAGAUGUUUUGGCGGUUAAGAGAAGAUUUUCAGCACUGAUUC
rnacentral:rRNA from 1 species